rnacentral:rRNA from 1 species
GACGAACCGUGCAAACGUUAUUCGGAAUCACUGGGCUUAAAGCGUGCGUAGGCGGCUGAGAAAGUUGGGUGUGAAAUCCCUCGGCUCAACCGAGGAAUUGCGCUCAAAACUACUUGGCUUGAGGGAGUUAGAGGUGAGCGGAACUAAUGGUGGAGCGGUGAAAUGCGUUGAUAUCAUUAGGAACACCGGUGGCGAAAGCGGCUCGCUGGGACGUUACUGACGCUGAGACGCGAAAGCGUGGGGAGCAAACAGG